UCCUACGGGAGGCAGCAGUGGGGAAUUUUGGACAAUGGGCGAAAGCCUGAUCCAGCCAUGCCGCGUGAGUGAAGAAGGCCUUCGGGUUGUAAAGCUCUUUCGGUCGAGAAGAAAUGUCUAUGACUAAUACUUAUAGAAAAUGACGGUAUCGACAUAAGA
rnacentral:rRNA from 1 species